UGGGGAAUUUUCCGCAAUGGGCGAAAGCCUGAUCCAGCAAUGCCGCGUGAGUGAAGAAGGCCUUCGGGUUGUAAAGCUCUUUUACCCGGGAUGAUAAUGACCGUACCGGGAGAAUAAGCCCCGGCUAACUCCGUGCCAGCAGCCGCGGUAAUACGGAGGGGGCUAGCGUUGUUCGGAAUCACUGGGCGUAAAGGGUGCGUAGGCGGUGCUCUAAGUUUGGUGUGAAAUCUCCCGGCUUAACUGGGUGGG
rnacentral:rRNA from 1 species